CCCCCCCCGGCCCCUGCGUGAGGGGAGGCCGCGGAAACACCGGCGGGAGCGGGCCCCCGAGGGAGCUCUGCCGUCCCCUGAGGUGCUACGGGGAGAGACCCUGCUCCGGGAGGCACCGGGACACCUCCCGACACAGCUCCCCCAAACAACAGCAGCCCCGGUGCGGGCUGAGCCCGUCCCAGCGGCGGCCGCAGCUGAAGUGUGAAGAGCAUCGUGGGCAGCGUGAAGCGCGCCCAGGCUCCGCUCUGCUGUGGGCACCACCCAUACACCUGAUCCGGACAAGAUCGUGGCGUUAUCACCUUUCUCCCUGAGUUCUGCCCCAAAACACCCACUUCCGUGAAUGCUCACAGCCCCUCAGGCAGAGAAGAGCGCCCCACCUGCGCUCUCAGCACCAAGGUCCAGGGUACCGGUGUCUCAUCAAGGCUUGUCUCAACAAGACAGCAACUGAAAAUCUCGACAUCUCAUCACAGGUUUUGAAGCCUGCUCAUCCUGACCAAGCCUUUCUGGAUCUCAUCAACAUGAAGGAACUCUCCUUAUGCCCUUCCAAGAUCUGUGCAAUACUUCUUGGAGUGACUUCCCGGUGAUGCCAACAGCUUUCCCUGGCACCCCCAAGCAGAUUAAGUGGAAGACCACAGCAGUAAGUGCCUUCCCUCCAACUGGCUCCAAUUGAAUGGUUUUCCCGUAGGAAUUAACCUCAGAGGAAUCAGUCCCUCCAGCCAAACUGCCUCCUUUCCAGAGAAGCCAGAGGCUUGCAUGCUUUAAAAAAAAAAUAAAAAAAAAAAUCCCCAAAUCAAGAUAGUGUUUCAAGUCAGAUUAUGGUUCUUGCCAAAGAGCUGAAAGUUUAGCUGGAACGAAUUGGCUAGGCUUUGCAGAAAGGAGGCUGUAAAGAAGGAGGUUUCACUCCCUUCGGUGCUGCAUCCCACUGCCUUCAUCAGCGGUGGCGAAGGGGCAGUUCACAGGCAGGCAGAGACAGGUGAAAAAGAGGCAGCUGGGAAGCAGAGCCUUGAGAUGCAGGGUCUUCAGCCUCUUCCUUAGGGUUUUCCCUGGGAACACCACCUGGGUGAAGCCAGCAGGAAAGGCUGGGAUUCAGGCCAUGCCCUUGCAGAGCAGAUUAGCAGCAGUGCUUGCCACCUUGCCACCCCCAGGAAAGAAGCGUGAUCCCUGCCUGGCACAGAAAUGGAUCCAACGGGAGGCUGUGAGGCAAAACUCACUCAAAUAUUGAACUAGAAAAAUUUUGCUCAAUCUGCCUCUCUGUAAACAGUGACUAAUUGCUCUGGCUGGAGCUGCUGUACCUUCUAGAUUGGAAGGUGCAGAUGGAGCAACGAUAGUGAAGGCUCCUUACCUGACGCCGGCUGUACAUUAAUCACAAAUGUUUGCUAUGCAAAUCUUGUCAUACAAAGCAAUUAUUGCUGUUCUCGUACUGACCUCAUGUUUAUUUAUUACAUGAGCUCUUUAUUUGAACCUUGUCUGGUCUCUCUUCCCAUAUAAGCGUAUUAGUAUGUGGCUUCCAAAGGCACCCAGCUGAGAAAUUGUAGAUUUAUUUGUGGCGUGGAGGGAUGGCACACCACACGCUGACUGCAAUGCAGAGCUGAGAGGCUCAGCUCUUACACCAGUGGCUCUUCAUGCAAAAUAUUCUCACCCCAAGGUCUCUUGCUGGGAUGAAGGACACUUUCUAACAGCGCAGGGCCACGACUCCGGGUUCGCUCUGACGCUGCAGUAUUAACCGAUGGUUAAUGGAGACUGUCAGCCCGAGGAGCCACACAAUAAAACUCUGCUUGGGUUUCUUUAGGGCCUGCUCAGUAAAACUAAAAUUUUACACAGUGCUUCGUCCUUGGCUUUGUCACCUUUGCCUACCUCCAGAAUAAUGAGUUGCAAACAGAUUUAACUGUGUCACCAGUUCGGCUGCACAGCAAGCAGAGGGAUUGGAAUUACCUUUCUACAGUUUUCUUUUAAACACGCUCUAUACAGUCUAGAGUCUUCUGUAGUCAGCUGCCCCUCCACGCCGAUCAGUUUUGUUGUGCAGGGACUCUGCCUGCCCUACACUACAGGCAAGUCUCUGUUCCUCCCUUGAGGGUGACAGGAAGGGGCUCCAUGGUUCUUGCUUCAAACCAAACCCUCCUGUCUGACCUCUGUGGGCCCCAUCCGUGUCCACAAACAUUGCUGCUUUUUUACUGGGGGAAACUGUAGAAAAGUCCCCAGAGCCUGAAUGAAAUCAAAUCCCUCUUACAUCCCUCAGCCCUCCCUGCCUCUCUUGCUGCUCUUUCUUCUGCUCUCACCUCUGCUUCAGCUCUUUCCAAUAUAGCAUCAUUUUCUGAUGCAAUUAACACUUCUCAUCGCUUCCAAAUCAUUAAUAAAGCCACUAAUUAACAUGAGGCCUGACAAUGAACUGAGCACUGCCACACUGUGUACUUUUGCCCCUCUCCAGCAUCACCUCUUCCUUAGGAUCUCAGCUGGCUUUCCAUCCAUUUGACAAAUUCCAUGCCCCAGUCAAUCUGAAACAUUCCUCCCCCCCCAGUAUUUCUCUUUUAUGGUGCAGCUGUAGCUUUUGCUAAUUGUUCAUGAAAUUACUUUCCUUUUUUUUUUUCUAAAGCAAUAUUUUUCUUGAGAAGUUGAAUUUAAAAGGGGCCAUAAAUGACUAAUCGCAAUUAAUAAAAAUGAAGAAAUAAUUGGGCAAUAUCUUUAGAAGUAUACGCCUGGAGUCAAACUCCUAAAUCCCUGUUUCUGUUAGAUCAGCUUGGGGUUUUUAUUCUUCCCUGAAGGAGCAGCAGUGCCCAAGACUGACAGGGAAUACUCCAAGUGAUGGAAUAACUCUCCAACAACCCUAGCAAGCUGAGGGCUGGAAGAAUGUGGUGGACCAUGCUGGCAACACAUGGCUUACUGCUGCCCUCCUCCCUUGCUGACAGGAGGACUGGCUGUGCCAGGGCAAGAGGGGCUUUGGGGACCCAGUGGACAACUUGAUCCUCUUGAGAAGCACCGCCUUUAACCCAUGGAAAGCCCUGCUACUUCCACAAGACGCUUAGAAAGGGAUUAGACAUUUAAGGGCAAGACAGUUACAUUAAAAAAAAAAGCAGCAAUAAAAGGCUUUUGUGGUUCAGAGCAUAAAUCAGCCUUUUACUGCUUCCCCUUGCAGGGAGCACAGCCGCAAGCAUCUAACUCAGGGAUUUUUAUAUCUAGUUGUGAAAUAUCUGGGGGACAGCAGUGCC